GACAGAGGUGCCGAGCGUUAGGCGGAAUCACUGGGCUUAAAGCGUGUGUAGGCGGACCGUUAAGUACCUUGUGAAAUCCCCCGGCUCAACCGGGGAACGGCUGGGUAUACUGGCGGUCUUGAGCCAUCCAGGGGCAGUCGGAACAGACGGUGGAGCGGUGAAAUGCGUAGAUAUCGUCUGGAACGCCGAAGGUGAAAACAGACUGCUGGGGAUGC
rnacentral:rRNA from 1 species